rnacentral:rRNA from 1 species
CCUACGGGUGGCUGCAGUGGGGAAUAUUGGACAAUGGGGGGAACCCUGAUCCAGCCAUGCCGCGUGUGUGAAGAAGGCCCUCGGGUUGUAAAGCACUUUCAGUGAGGAAGAACGCCUGGUGGUUAAUACCCAUCAGGAAAGACAUCACUCACAGAAGAAGCACCGGCUAACUCCGUGCCAGCAGCCGCGGUAAUACGGAGGGUGCGAGCGUUAAUCGGAAUUACUGGGCGUAAAGCGCGCGUAGGUGGCUUAAUAAGCCGGUUGUGAAAGCCCCGGGCUCAACCUGGGAACGGCAUCCGGAACUGUCAAGCUAGAGUGCAGGAGAGGAAGGUAGAAUUCCCGGUGUAGCGGUGAAAUGCGUAGAGAUCGGGAGGAAUACCAGUGGCGAAGGCGGCCUUCUGGACUGACACUGACACUGAGGUGCGAAAGCGUGGGUAGCAAACAGGAUUAGAUACCCCGGUAGUC